rnacentral:rRNA from 1 species
AGUGAACGCUGGCGGUAGGCCUAACACAUGCAAGUCGAACGGCAGCACAGUAAGAGCUUGCUCUUACGGGUGGCGAGUGGCGGACGGGUGAGGAAUACAUCGGAAUCUACUUUUUCGUGGGGGAUAACGUAGGGAAACUUACGCUAAUACCGCAUACGACCUACGGGUGAAAGCAGGGGAUCUUCGGACCUUGCGCGAUUGAAUGAGCCGAUGUCGGAGUAGCUAGUUGGCGGGGUAAAGGCCCACCAAGGCGACGAUCCGUAGCUGGUCUGAGAGGAUGAACAGCCACACUGGAACUGAGACACGGUCCAGACUCCUACGGGAGGCAGCAGUGGGGAAUAUUGGGCGAUGGGGGCAAGCCUGAUCCAGCCAUACCGCGUGGGUGAAGAAGGCCUUCGGGUUGGAAAACCCUUUUGUUGGGAAAGAAAAGCAGCAGGUUAAUCCCCCGCUGUUCUGACGGUACCCAAAGAAUAAGCACCGGCUAACUUCGUG